rnacentral:SRP_RNA from 1 species
GCCGGGCGCAGUGGCGCGUGCCUGUAGUUCCAGCUACCCGGGAGGCUGAGGUGGGAGGAUCGCUUGAGCCCAGGAGUUCUGGGCUAUAGUGCGCUAUGCCGAUCAGGUGUCUGCACUAAGUUUGGCAUCAAUAUGGUGACCUCCCGGGAACGGGGGACCACCAGGUUGCCUAAGGAGGGGUGAACCGGCCCAGGUUGGAAACGGAGCAGGUCAAAACUCCUGUGCUGAUCAGUAGUGGGAUCUCGUCUGUGAAGAGCCACUACACUCCGGCCUGGGCAACAUAGCGAGACCCCGUCUCU